AUUUUAUAGUCUCUUUCUUAUUGCAUUUAAAGCUGAAUCAUUGAAGUUUAAAAUACAAUUUCUAAUUUCAUCAUCCACGUGACAGAACAUAAGACUCUCUUAAUGGAGAAAACCCUAGACAAGAGCAAAUUCGCUAAAUUAAAGUUGAAUGAUCCCACAAUUUUCACAAUAGCACAAAUACAUUGUCAUAUUAUCCUAAAAAACCUCAAGGGUUCACCCUUGCUAUAUCCAACCCAAAAAAGACGUUUUAAGUACAAGUCUUAUAUUCUGAAACGAGGCGCCCAACCAACACAUGUACUAUACCUAUACCUGCUGUGAUAAGUGUUUACAGUUUUUAAGCGUUCUUGUUUUUAUAGCUUCUGUUAACACGCUUAUACUUUAUUCAUACUAAACAGGGGAUAAGUUCAUCUGAUCCACGAUACGUAGUGGUAAAAUAGUAUGGAAUGGUAAGAUUGAUUGAAUAACUUGCUAACUUAAAUCUUCUAGCGAAAAUUACAAUAGUACCUAAAGUUUCUGAUAAAAACAUGCCUUGUUCCGGUAUCAAAAUAGUCAAAGUGGCCAUUGUUUACAAUAAAUACGAGACAACUUGCCACACUUAAUCAAUGAAAGCGAGUAUUGAAAGUAACACUAAAUACAGCUUUACAAAUCCCAAGAUACCACUGUAAGACAACGGAAAAUACAUUCAAAGAUGUCAUCCCUUCAGAUGAAAUCGCUUAGUACACUUUAUCUUGGCUCGCCUCAAAAAAAUUGCAAACAAAGACUAGAACUCAAUAUCGCUAAGGAUUUGGAAGGAUACAAAUGCGACUUGCUAAAGAGAGAUUUUCGUCAACAAAAAUACUCUUGCUUCAUAGUCUAGUGGGUACAAGAACAGAACACGGUUCCCGGACAGAAAAUGUGUUUUUAAAACACAACCGGAAUACUCGGUGUUUCACGAUAUGACGGAGUACACGAUUGACCCGCUUUCAACGAAAACCGAGCUAGAUUUGCUUUGUACGCUCAAUGCCUAUUUAAAAUUCUACAAAUGCAAAAUUCUGACGACAAAAUUAGUGCUUUCGAGUCAAGAGAAUUUUGCAUGAGCGCUUUAUACGUCGAGUAGUACAUAUUCAUUGAUUAUCUUCAGGAAUACGAAAUACUCCCGUUGCUUCUCAGUUUAUUUUACUUUGGAAUUGAAACUUUUAAAAGUAAGCUUCUUAAUUCAAAUAUGCAACUAGCUUUAUCAUGCUGCAUUUUAGUCCCUUCUGGCCAAAAGAUAAUUAUCAAUCAACUCCCUAAUUAGUCUGAACAAUUUUGGAACACAGCGAAAGUAAAAGCAAGCGAUGUCGUACCUGCGUAUCGCGAUAAUAGCCCGAAACUUGGGUAAAUGUAAAAAGUUUUACCCCAAAAUAAUUUGGAAACCUAAUUUAAUUUUUGAGUAGGGACGCUCAUCGUUCAGGGGCACCGCAAAACUCAAUUUCCGUGGGUAAUCUACAACGGGAAUUAUAAGCCGAGGUACGGAAACUCUUGAUAAUCCUACUAAUAUUGUAAAGCGUAAGGUUUGAUGUUUCCGAUGAACAUUUCUAGCAUAUGUGGUUCAGUAAAAGUGUUUGGAAAAAUAAUAAAGCUUAUUUUUUAACUGAAAAUGAAACAUUCAUUCAAGAACUUACUAAGAAGACGAAUCCCAGAUUUCAAGACAAUGUUACAAUUUCAUUUGCAAGAACAAUACGUCAAACUGAUAUAAACCACAGUUCUCUUUUAUAUGAAGAAAUAAAACAGUAUCAACAAGUUUUCGUCUGGCGUGAGUACUAAACGUCAGAGGAAAGAUAGAUUCUAUCCAUUCUUUGGUUCAACGUUCGUACACAAAUGAUGAGAUAAUAAAGAUGAGAAAUAUGUAGUUACAGAUAAUCCUAGCUUACACUAGAGCAGUAACUCUGAUAGACCCACCUACGGUAGUAGGUAACGGUUUCUUCAAAUCUUGAACUCUUGAAAAUUAAAAAGGGUUAUUUUUAUGCGGCAAGUGUUCUUCUGAACUGAUAUAGAAAAUUGUUCUACGGUUUGUUUCGUUAUGGCUAGUACUUCUAUUGAGACCAGCUAGUUCUAGAUAAAAUUGCGAAUCGAUUUUUGUUCCUUCCAACCUGUUGAGCGCGGACAGAUGUGAUAGGUACUUGAAGAGACGUCAACUGAAAAAGACAUCGGAAGAUAAGAUUCACAAUUGUACAAUAACGUUAGGGGAAUCGUUUAUACGCGUAAAUUGUAGGGUUCAACAGGGGUAUUAUUGACGAAUAAAGAGCAAAGACAGCACUAAAGAGAUGGGCGCAGAAGGAUCAAAAUAAUGCCAGGAAGAUAUUUUGACGGUUUGCAUCGCAGACCAACAAAUAAUUAGGCCGCUCCAGCAGAGAGCCAGAGAACCAGGUUCAUAGCUGAUUUGAGAUUGCUUAAUUGUUCAAGGUCUAAUCAAAAACUGGCUGGUAUUUGUCAAUAGUGCCAAUCCAAAUAAAACAAGGAAAACUUUGAAAAUAUAAAAAAUAGAAUAGCAAAAACCUACUUACGGCGUACCCGUAAAGAAUAGAGUAGAACAUGCAAUAUGCAUGAAAUAGAAUCGACAGCCGGCACAAAAUUAAUAUUUACUUUGGCAAUUUACAAGUCAAUACCGUCUGGUUUGUGUACCGAAAGAAGUCAGUCGGGAAGCACUUCAUCAUCUGGAAUUGGCGGGUAUUUUUAGUUUUUGCCACCAACCUGCUUACACGUAGGUACCUACUAUCGAAAUUGUUGCAUUCGUGCCAGUCAUUAUACCCAGUAACAUUGGGUGAGCGGAUUUCAGAGGACCCUUGUAUUUUUUUUUGUCGCUGAAGAUGCUCGACCCACACAACAGUAGUGGAAUUAUCACUUUACAUAGGUAAACAAAGUUGAUGUACCUAGACAAAAGGUAAGUAGGUCUGAAUUACAGUAUCAAUUUUAAGAAGACUUAGACAAAAAAAAACAGAAUUUUAUACAGAACAAUUCUAAAUCGCUACAAUAAACAGAACAAAUGGUCCCAUCCAUAUUAAUGAGCUUUUCAGCCGCAUUUAAAUACUGAAUAUCGUUAUGGAAAUGUCGCAAACUUGUUUGUUUUACUUUUAUAAAUCAGUACACAUUUGGUUUUGUUCUACUAGGGCGAGCGGUCCAACCUCAGUUACACUGGUGGAUCAUGUCGCUAGAAUUUAUAGAUGGUUUCGUAUAAGCUAGCAUUUAUUUACUCAACAUAAAAUGGCGAUAACUACAAAAAUAUCAAACGAGCGACAUAAACUACAAUUGGCUAAUGAAAAAAUAACUAAUCAAGUAUAACAGUGAUGAUAACAAAUUGCGUCCUCCAAAAUGUAGCAGUGAGUAUCUUGAAAAAAACUUUGUUAAGAUUAAGAAAAACACUAAAAGAUUCUUGUGAAAAUUUUGUAGCCCGAGAAAUGUUAGAAAUUUUUAAGAAGGUAUUUGAGGCGAGUUGAACAGAUCUCGCUCGUGAAUAUUGGGGCACAAAAUAUCUAGUUUUAAAAUUGCUUUUCAUAGGAGCAAUACAAAAAGUAACACAUACGUUUUCAAACACGAAAACGGUACCAACUGGACCUUAAAAAUGUGAAAAUAGAAAAUACACAAGUCGCGCUUGCUCCGACUCUUUUUAAUUCUUACAAUAUAGGUCACUGAUACGUUUCUUUGUUUACUUUUUAUUGGAAAUAUGAUGACCUAGUAUUUAUCGAGAACUGAAUCUACAAUCUAGACCGGUUGACAUUUAGCUGUUCUAAUGCUUAUCAAGCUUUAUAUGUAAAUGUGUUAUUUACAUUAAGAUGCUCGUGGUUACAUAAAAAUAAAUGUUACGUUAUAAUAUGCUCAUUAGAUAAACACCGAUAUUACGCUGCAGCCUGUGUCUGCAGAAUAACAGUAUAAUGUGUCAGGAUCAUAUUCGAAGAAAACAGUACAGAGGAAUAACUUAAAAAUCAGUAAUUUAAAAAAAAUACUGGCAAUAGUGAGAAUCCUUUUAAGGAAGUCUCACUUACAUAAAUUGGUACCAUAUAAAUACUUUCAAGUAAAGUAAGAGUUAAGUAAUGUUUCAGUAUUUCGUGGUAAGUGACACAUUUACAUCCCUCACCAAUGAAAACUCCCGCAAACCCCAAGUCGAUCGAUGAUUAUAAACUAUAAUAUACGUAUCUACAACUACAGAAAUAAUAUUCAAAGCUUUAAAAACGUAUUUCAUGAAGUAUUUAUUCCAUCAAUCAAUAAGGCUUGGAUUAUUUAGUGAAACAACAAUCAUAGGUCGACGCCUGCUAUCUGGCUGCCAGGAAAAAGAGCUUUUAAAUAAACAUGAACAAUCGACCAUCGACGGUUUCGUUUUGUUUUUAAAUGUGUGAAAAUAUAAAGCAGCAGAAAAAAUAUUUCGUCUUUACAAAUGCCGUUAUGAAAAAGUUGAAAUAAGUUUUGUAACAUUCUACAAUAAAACAUUACUAUUGUUAGAAGUCGGAUAGAAAAUACAGUCCAAGAUUAAGGACACUGAAAAAAGAUUUUUAAACAAUAAAGGUAGUACUACACAGGUUUCAUUGACUUUAACUUUAUGCAUUCGCAUUCCUCCCAUAUUCAUAAAUCUCAUUGUUUUCACAAUACUUUUUGACCCCAAAGUAUUCCGUAAUACAGGAAAAAUAUCCUUAUUUUUAAAAUUCCGCAUUUUCUUAUUUUUAUUACACGGUAUCAUUUUAACGCGAAACAGGAAAAACGCUCACAUAAUAUACCAGAUAAACGUGUCCCACUGUAUUGUGAGUUGUUUCCCGAUUAUUCUGAAAUUCAGAUAUUCUUAAAUGUGUUUGAAGUACCUUACUUACUAUACCUAAUGUCCAUCAGUCUGAAAUACUGAACGCGAAAUUACCGAACGGAUUUUGAUUAAAUUCAAAUAUCAGAAUUUCAUUUUUAUUUAGUAGUAGUGCGUGUGAAGUUGCGGAUGACAGCUAGCACUAUGUCUAUAAUAUGAAUGUGGGUGUCUCUCAUAUUUACUGUAGUUAUGAGAUAUUAUGAAUAUGUACGGAGCAUCUAAGGCUUAUCAAGUUUGAGCGUCACCUACAAACAUGAUCAUAGUCAAAGAAUGCACAAAUCUCGGUCAUCCUGCAUCGCAACACAAAAUCCCAUAAAACAAACAAUUUAGAGCUAAUUUAUUAAUAGAUUCGCGUUGUUAUCACGCCGCUCGGAUCCUGCGCAGAUACGGUGAAGGUCGUUUACCAGUUAUUAUAAUAAUAAAGUCGUCUGCGGAUCUCUGUGUACGGAAUUUAGAAAUGUUUUGAAUGCCUGCUUUGUUGUCUACGUUAAUUCUUUAAAGUAUGAUGUACCUAUAUUACAUACUUCUAAGGGUUCCGUACCAAAAUAGUACCCUGCGGCCCGUCUGUCACCAGGCUGUAUCUCAUGAAUCGUGAUAGUUAGUGUUGGAAUAUUCAUAGACGAUGUAUUUCUGUUUGCGCUACAGGAACAAAUACUUAAAAAACCUAUGAUAACAAAAGUCGCUAUAAUAUUCGAUGAAAGGAUAACGCGUAAAAAUCACACUUCUGUAUGUUUUAUGAUGGACAUAAGCACUACAUAAAAAAAUUGUAGAUGCAAUUCCGUAAUAUUUACUCCGGCUGACAGCCACACUCAUCGUAUUAUGUAAAUAUGGACCUACCGUGUCGUAAUAUUCAUUCACGUGCAUUACUAUAGUAAAGUAUAGUUUGCAAACACUACUAGCGAAGACCGUCGGCCGUGUAAAGAGACUCUCGUUAUGGAGUUAUCAAGACCUGCUGGCCAGCUACAGAAAGCGGUAUUCCUUGACACGCAGCGUAUUGUUACCGAGUUCCUUGUCUGGAGUAUUAGCCAUUUGUUAGUUGCAUCCUAUUCUAGGAGAGGUAAGUAGAUUUUUUUAGGUACUUAAUUUUUUUAUUUACACUAGUUUGUGUAUGUUUGUAGAGUUAUGUAUGUUAUGCUCAGGGUGUGUCAAAUAGAUAUGAACAUUUGGAAGCUAUACCUACUUCGGUUAUUAUACGCAUAGUUAUUAUAAUGGUCUAUACUUAGCGACAUUGGAUUAUAAUGAAAUACUGUAAUUUUGAACCGAAAAUGGAACAAGGCGUGAGCCUCUCUAAAGCAUGAGCGUGUGGAUUUAAUUUUAGGUCAGGAAAGUACUUCUGUAAGUUAAAUGUUCUUUCUAACUAUAUCUUAGAUACAAAUGACUAAGUAAAGGUGACGGAAACAUCUUGAAAAAACAUGAAGGAUAAAGUCUUAAAUAGCCUUGAGCAAGCGCGUUAGGCCGGCAGCACACAUCCGGUUUCCGGAUACGGUUUCCUGAUCAGGAAUUCCGAUUCGGGAUUCCGUGACACUAGCGCACACAUUCGGGCUACCUUGAUUCAGAAUGAAAAUUUCCGUAUGUGUGCGGCGGUCCAACCAAAUUGUUCGCGAGCGCUGCGUUCGGAAUGACGUCAUCAGGUUUUAUUCCGUUCUGAGUACCAGAACGCACGGAGAAAAUUUUAAACCGGAUGUCAGGUUUUUUUCCGUCCGGAAAAAGUAAGAACGUGUGCGCUCUUGUGAACAU
rnacentral:lncRNA from 1 species